AGAGUUGAUCAUGGCUCAGGAUGAACGCUAGCGGCAGGCUUAACACAUGCAAGGUCGAGGGGCAGCGCGAGGUAGCAAUACUUGGCGGCGACCGGCGGAAGGGUGCGUAACGCGUGAGCAACAUGCCCGUAUGAGGGGGAUAGUCAUUGGAAACGAUGCGUAAUACCCCGUAACAACAGAGGCGGCAUCGCCUUAGUUUGAAAGAUUUAUCGCAUACGGAUUGGCUCGCGUGACAUUAGCUAGUUGGCGGGGUAACGGCCCACCAAGGCGACGAUGUCUAGGGGAACUGAGAGGUUGGUCCCCCACACUGGAACUGAGACACGGUCCAGACUCCUACGGGAGGCAGCAGUGAGGAAUAUUGGUCAAUGGGCGGAAGCCUGAACCAGCCAUGCCGCGUGAAAAGGAUUAAGGCCCUAUGGGUCGUAAACUUCUUUUGACGGGGAGCAAUAAGGGCGUCGCGCACGUCCGAUGAGAGUACUCGUCGAAUAAGCAUCGGCUAACUCCGUGCCAGCAGCCGC
rnacentral:rRNA from 1 species